GACGGAGGAUGCAAGUGUUAUCCGGAAUCACUGGGCGUAAAGCGUCUGUAGGUGGUUUAAUAAGUCAACUGUUAAAUCUUGAGGCUCAACCUCAAAAUCGCAGUCGAAACUAUUAGGCUAGAGUAUAGUAGGGGUAAACGGAAUUCCUGGUGUAGCGGUGAAAUGCGCAGAUAUCAGGAGGAACACCGGUGGCGAAGGCGGUUCUCUGGGCCAUUACUGACGCUGAGGAGCGAAAGCGUGGGGAGCGAACAGG
rnacentral:rRNA from 1 species